GAAAGUAAGCAAGGGCAGACGGUGGAUGCCUUGGCUCUCGGAGGCGACGAAGGACGUGAUAAGCUGCGAAAAGCCCGGGGGAGGCGCAAAUAGCCCUUGAUCCCGGGAUAUCCGAAUGGGGCAACCCGGCAGGCUGAAGGCCUGCCAUCCCGUAAGGGAGGCGAACGUGGGGAACUGAAACAUCUAAGUACCCAUAGGAGGAGAAAAUAAACAAUGAUUCCGUAAGUAGUGGCGAGCGAACACGGAAGAGCCCAAACCCAUGUCGUCUAGGCGACACGGGGGUUGUAGGACCACGACGUGGCAAGAUAGAGUCAAGUGGAACGCCUUGGAAAAGGCGGUCAUAGAGGGUGAAAACCCCGUACACGACUGACGAUUGAAGCCUAGUGGCAUCCUGAGUAGCGCGGGGCACGAGAAAUCUUGCGUGAAACAGCGGGGCCCAUCCCGUAAGGCUAAAUACUCCCGAGAGACCGAUAGCGAACCAGUACCGUGAGGGAAAGGUGAAAAGAACCCCGAGCAGGGGAGUGAAAUAGACCCUGAACCCGUCUGCCUACAAGCGGUCGGAGCAUAGCAAUAUGUGACGGCGUGCCUUUUGCAUAAUGAACCUACGAGUUACCUUCCCCGGCAAGGUUAAGUACCUAAGGUACGGAGCCGAAGCGAAAGCGAGUCUGAAGAGGGCGGCCAGUCGGGGGGGGUAGACGCGAAACCGAGUGAUCUACCCUUGGCCAGGUUGAAGGUUGGGUAACACCAACUGGAGGACCGGAUGGGUAAGCGUUGAAAAGCUUUCCAAUGAGCUGAGGGUAGGGGUGAAAGGCUAAUCAAACUCGGAGAUAGCUCGUACUCCCCGAAAUGCAUUUAGGUGCAGCCUCUUUAUAGUAUAUCGUGAGGUAGAGCGACUGAUUGGAUGCGAGGGCUUCACCGCCUAUCAAGUCCAGAUAAACUCCGAAUGCGCGAUAUAUAUUUAAAGGGAGUGAGGGCGCGGGUGCUAAGGUCCGUGUCCGAGAGGAGAAGAAUCCAGACCACCGGCUAAGGCCCCCAAAUGAUCGUUGAGUUGAACUAACGAGGUCGGAUCGCAGAGACAGCUAGGAUGUUGGCUUGGAAGCAGCCAUUCAUUUAAAGAGUGCGUAACAGCUCACUAGUCGAGCGAUCUGGCGUGGAUAAUAAUCGGGCAUAAACGAUCUGCCGAAGCCGUGGAUGUCGCAAGACAUGGUAGGGGAGCAUUCCAUGCCGCGUCGAAGAUGAGGGAUGACCCUUGUUGGAGCGCAUGGAAAAGCAAAUGUAGGUAUGAGUAACGAUAAGGGGGGCGAGAAACCCCCCCGCCGAAAGACCAAGGUUUCCUGAUCAACGCUAAUCGGAUCAGGGUGAGUCGGGACCUAAGGCCAAGCCGAACGGCGACGCCGAUGGAAGAAUGGGUUAAUAUUCCCAUACUGCCUCAUGGAGUGACGUGGAGACGGAGAAGUGACAGUCCUGCCGGCUGACGGAAUAGCCGGUUGAAGGGUGUAGAUAUUGAUUCCCGUAGGCAAAUCCGCGGGGAGAGUCGAACCUGACAGUAUACCGAGUACUUGUACGAGGUAAUAUGGACGUAACCAUGCUCCCAAGAAAAUCCGCUAAACUUAUCCAUGCGGCACCCGUACCGUAAACGGACACACGUGGUCGGGUUGAGAAUACUGAGGCGCUCGAGUGACUCACGGUUAAGGAACUAGGCAAAUUGACCCUGUAACUUCGGGAUAAAGGGUCCUCGUCGUAAGGCGAGGCGCAGAGAAUAGGUCCAGGCAACUGUUUAACAAAAACACAUGGCUGUGCUAAAUGGAAACAUGACGUAUACAGCCUGACACCUGCCCGGUGCUGGAAGGUUAAGAGGAGAUGUCAUCGCAAGAGAAGCGUUGAAUUGAAGCCCCAGUAAACGGCGGCCGUAACUAUAACGGUCCUAAGGUAGCGAAAUUCCUUGUCGGGUAAGUUC
rnacentral:rRNA from 1 species